AUUUUGGUGGCUGAAUUUAGGCGAUAAAUUGUAAAUUUAUAUAUGACUUAAUUGUCCCAUG
rnacentral:tRNA from 1 species